rnacentral:rRNA from 1 species
GGGCCCGCACAAGCAGCGGAGCGUGUGGUUUAAUUCGAUGCAACGCGAAGAACCUUACCUGGGCUUGACAUGUACGUAGUAGUGAAGGGAAACCGGAACGAGCCUUCGGGCAGCGUAGACAGGUGCUGCAUGGCUGUCGUCAGCUCGUGUUGUGAAAUGUUGGAUUAAGUCCCGCAACGAGCGCAACCCUUAUCCUUUGUUGCCAGCGGUCCGGCCGGGAACUCAAAGGAGACUGCCAGUGAUAAACUGGAGGAAGGUGGGGAUGACGUCAAGUCAUCAUGGCCCUUACGACCAGGGCUACACACGUGCUACAAUGGCGCAUACAAAGAGAAGCGACCUCGCGAGAGCAAGCGGACCUCAUAAAGUGCGUCGUAGUCCGGAUUGGAGUCUGCAACUCGACUCCAUGAAGUCGGAAUCGCUAGUAAUCGUGGAUCAGAAUGCCACGGUGAAUACGUUCCCGGGCCUUGUACACAC